AGAGUUUGAUCCUGGCUCAGAAUGAACGCUGGCGGCAGCUAAAACAUGCAAGUCGAGUGGCGCACGGGUGAGUAACACGUGGGAAUAUGCCUUUUGGUACGGAACAACUCUGGAAACGGCUAAUACCGUAUGGUCCUCCGGUAAAGAUCGCCAAAAGAUUAGCCCGCGUCUGAUUAGCUAGUUGGUGGGUAAUGGUCACCAAGGCGACGAUCAGUAGCUGGUCUGAAGGACGAUCAGCCACACUGGGACUGAGACACGGCCCAGACUCUACGGGAGGCAGCAGUUAGGAAUAUUGGACAAUGGGCGCAAGCCUGAUCCAGCCAUGCCGCGUGAGUGAUGAAGCUUCGGGUUGUAAAGCUCUUUAGUCCACGAAUAUAAUGACUGUAGUGGAAGAAUAAGCCCCGGCUAACUUCGUGCCGCAGCCGCGGUAAUACGAAGGGGGCGAGCGUUAUUCGGAAUCACUGGGCGUAAAGCGUGCGUAGGCUGUUUGUAAGUCAGAAGUGAAAGCCCGGGCUUAACCCGGAAUUGCUUUUGAAACUACAAACUCGAAUUCGGGAGAGGAUAGCGGAAUGUCAGUGUAGCAGUGAAAUGCGUAGAUAUUGACGGAACACCAGUGGCGCAAGCGGCUAUCUGGACCGAUAUUGACGCUGAGGCACGAAAGCGUGGGGAGCAAACAGGAUUAGAUACCCUGGUAGUCCACGCCGUAAACGAUGUGAGUUUGUCGCUGGAUUCGGUGACUAGUUAACGCGUUAAACUCCCGCCUGGGAAGUACGGCCGCAAGUUAAACUCAAAGGAAUUGACGG
rnacentral:rRNA from 1 species